CGAAAGCCUGACGGAGCAAUACCGCGUGAGGGAUGACGGCCUUUGGGUUGUAAACCUCUUUUAUCAAGGAGGAAGUUCUGACGUGUACUUGAUGAAUAAGCAUCGGCUAACUCCGUGCCAGCAGCCGCGGUAAGACGGAGGAUGCAAGUGUUAUCCGGAAUCACUGGGCGUAAAGCGUCUGUAGGUUGUUUAAAAAGUCUGCAGUUAAAGGUUGAAGCUUAACUUCAAAAAUGCCGUAGAAACUUUUAAACUAGAGGAUGGUAGGGGUAGAGGGAAUUUCCAGUGGAGCGGUGAAAUGUGUAGAUAUUGGAAAGACCACCGAUGGCGAAGGCACUCUACUGGGCCAUGACUGACACUGAGAGACGAAAGCUAGGGGAGCA
rnacentral:rRNA from 1 species